rnacentral:tRNA from 1 species
ACUUAAAUAAUUUAAAAAAAAUAUUAAUUUGUGGAGUUAAAAAUAUGAAUAAAUUCAUUUUAGGUU